rnacentral:rRNA from 1 species
CAGUCGCCGCGGUAAUACGAGGGGGGCAAGCGUUGUUCGGAAUUAUUGGGCGUAAAGGGUGCGUAGGCGGUUCAGCAAGUCUCGUGUGAAAUCUUCGGCUCAACCCGAAGUCUGCACGGGAAACUACUGGGCUUGAGUAAUGGAGAGGUGAGUGGAAUUUCCGGUGUAGCGGUGAAAUGCGUAGAUAUCGGAAGGAACACCUGUGGCGAAAGCGGCUCACUGGACAUUUACUGACGCUGAUGCACGAAAGCUAGGGGAGCAAACAGGAUUAGAUACCCGAGUAGUCCCUGUCUCUUAUACA